rnacentral:tRNA from 1 species
CAAAGUAAAGCUAAUUUAGUGCAGCAUUUCACUUACAAUGAAAAAAAUAUUGUGCAAUUCAAUAUUCUUUGA